CACAUGACAAUCACAAUCUACCUGCUUGCCUUGUUUCUUAGGUUGUCAUGUGACAAACACAUGAAAGGGCUAGAGUUUCUUUAGGGUAAGGACAUGACAGCAACUUAUGCUGAGAGUGCUGAAGCAGCUGGUGAGCUGUCCACACUCAGCCUAACUUUGUCCUAAGUGAAAUCAUCACCUAAAGCAAGCUCACUUCAUAUUUAACCCUUUCCAGCUGUUUUCCACGUCCUGAAAUCUAAAGAAAAAUCAAGAGAGUUUCAGAAAUUUUAAGAGAGAAAGAAGAAGAGAAAACUGAAAAAAAUUCAGAAACUAAAAUCAAGAGAAAAAGUAUGGUUGAAUCUUUGGUAAAGUUCAUCCAUCAGUUGUUUCAGUCUGUUAUUGAGAGUAAGAUCAGACGGUGAGACUUUUAAAUAAAACCCUAGACCUAGUUCAGUUCAGAUCAUGAUCAAACCCACAUCUCUCUUUCUGUUCAGUUCAGCCGCAAGCUAACCUUGGAGAAGAGGAUCAGCUGAGACCAUCUAGUCCUUUGGUUCGUCUUGCUAAGGUGUGGAGCUUUACUAGUCCAACUCUGUCCAUUCAGUCUCUUGGUCCAUUCAGCUUUGUUCAAGAGGAACUCAAGUCUUGUUCAAGCCAGUUUCAAGACUGUUUUUUAGGUGAGUCUAGACAGAUGAUGAGAUAGAUCAUGAAUGAGUACAUGAUUGAGUUUAAUUGUAAUAUCUUAAUUAGAUAGUAAAGUCUUUGAAUCCUUUAAGAAGUGUAUGGUGUUUACUUAGUGAAAACACUUACACUUAAAGAAUAAUGAAAAUGUUAUAGUGAGGUUAAUACUAAUCUUAAUACUUGUUCUCAAGUAAUAAUCUUAAUUAUGAAAUAAUCUUGAUUUAAUUAAGAAUUAACUUUAGAUUAAUUAAGAAUUAAUUUGGGACUAAUUGAAAAUUAAUUAUGAUUAAUUUUGGAUUAAUUUUGAAACAAUCGUAGAAGUGAAAAUCAUGUGAAGUCUUAUUAUAUUCACUAUCUUUAAAGUCUCCGCAUUAUCGUGACUUGGUCCUGUAAAGGGAACAAGGUCAUAAAAACACGAUGAUGGGGUAGCUUCCUAGAGACCGUAUACUGCAUGACGAUGCAGU